AAUAGAUACCCAGGUAGUCCACGCCGUAAACGAUGAGUGCUAAGUGUUAGAGGGUUUCCGCCCUUUAGUGCUGCAGCUAACGCAUUAAGCACUCCGCCUGGGGAGUACGGCCGCAAGGCUGAAACUCAAAGGAAUUGACGGGGGCCCGCACAAGCGGUGGAGCAUGUGGUUUAAUUCGAAGCAACGCGAAGAACCUUACCAGGUCUUGACAUCCUCUGCCAACCCUAGAGAUAGGGCGUUCCCCCUUCGGGGGACAGAGUGACAGGUGGUGCAUGGUUGUCGUCAGCUCGUGUCGUGAGAUGUUGGGUUAAGUCCCGCAACGAGCGCAACCCUUGAUCUUAGUUGCCAGCAUUCAGUUGGGCACUCUAAGGUGACUGCCGGUGACAAACCGGAGGAAGGUGGGGAUGACGUCAAAUCAUCAUGCCCCUUAUGACCUGGGCUACACACGUGCUACAAUGGAUGGUACAAAGAGCUGCGAACCCGCGAGGGUAAGCGAAUCUCAUAAAGCCAUUCUCAGUUCGGAUUGUAGG
rnacentral:rRNA from 1 species